ACAUCCAGAGAAUUUAGCAGAGAUGCCUUAGUGCCUUCGGGAACUCUGAGACAGGUGCUGCAUGGCUGUCGUCAGCUCGUGUUGUGAAAUGUUGGGUUAAGUCCCGNAACGAGCGCAACCCUUAUCCUUUGUUGCCAGCACGUAAUGGUGGGAACUCAAAGGAGACUGCCGGUGAUAAACCGGAGGAAGGUGGGGAUGACGUCAAGUCAUCAUGGCCCUUACGAGUAGGGCUACACACGUGCUACAAUGGCGCAUACAAAGAGAAGCGACCUCGCGAGAGCAAGCGGACCUCAUAAAGUGCGUCGUAGUCCGGAUUGGAGUCUGCAACUCGACUCCAUGAAGUCGGAAUCGCUAGUAAUCGUAAAUCAGAAUGUUACGGUGAAUACGUUCCCGGGCCUUGUACACACCGCCCGUCACACCAUGGGAGUGGGUUGCAAAAGAAGUAGAUAGCUUAACCUUCGGGAGGGCGUUUACCACUUUGUGAUUCAUGACUGGGGUGAAGUCGUAACAAGGUAAGCGUAGUGCU
rnacentral:rRNA from 1 species